UACGGAGGGUGCGAGCGUUGUCCGGAAUCAUUGGGCGUAAAGGGCGCGUAGGUGGCGGGACAAGCGUGCGGUGAAAGCUCGGGGCUCAACCCCGCGUCGGCCGUGCGAACUGUUUUGCUUGAGCACUGUAGAGGCAGGCGGAAUUCCGGGUGUAGCGGUGGAAUGCGUAGAGAUCCGGAAGAACACCGGUGGCGAAGGCGGUCUGCUGGGCAGUUGCUGACACUGAGGCGCGACAGCGUGGGGAG
rnacentral:rRNA from 1 species